GGGAAAGUCAUCUUUUGUGUCUCCUGGACAUUCCAGAAGUUUCCUCCCUGCCUUUGCCAACCAAAGCUCCGCCCAGACACGAUCCGUGCGUGCAGUUAUGCAGCACACUCAGAUGAAUGGAAUUACGUUGCAUGUCAUAGUCAUUUCCUUGUUCUUUGUGGGUGAAAACAGCAAUCAGCACGCGCGUGUGCGUGUGUGUGCGCGUACAACAUGUACAUCCGCGCUGACAUGCAAAUAGGAAUGACUGCGUCCACCCUGUGUCAUCUUCAAGGUCAGCUGAAAGCAACACGGCAUGGAAGUUAUUCGUAGCGCUUUUUCCCAACCUGUACUUGACAUUCGGACUUGGUUCUACCCUCUCCCAGCUCUGUCACCUACACACAGCCUUGGCCAAAAGCCACAGUUACGUUCUCACUUGUAAAUCUAGGUGAAAGGAGGAGGCUGGCAUCCAUGCCCCUUGACAAAAUAUUUAAAUAUACGGAGCAAUAAAACAGCACGGGAGAUAGAGCUGAUAACCGUAGCAUCUGAGGGUUAGCACACAACUGACCUUCGGCCUGCAAAGCGCCAGCCUGCCCCGAAGACGACUGAGCAGCUGUAUUUCCUAUCUUAUUAUGUGACUGUGUCUUAGUGGUCACACAUGAAGAGAUCUGCCUGGUGAAUUCAUUUGAAUUAAAAAAAUAUAUUUUCUAAAAAUGUA